rnacentral:rRNA from 1 species
UACGGAAGGCAGCAGUGGGGAAUAUUGCACAAUGGGCGCAAGCCUGAUGCAGCCAUGCCGCGUGUAUGAAAAAGGCCUUCGGGUUGUAAAGUACUUUCAGUCGUGAGGAAGGUGUUAAGGUUAAUAACCUUAGCAAUUGACGUUAGCGACAGAAGAAGCACCGGCUAACUCCGUGCCAGCAGCCGCGGUAAUACGGAGGGUGCGAGCGUUAAUCGGAAUUACUGGGCGUAAAGGGCACGCAGGCGGUUAAUUAAGUUGGAUGUGAAAUCCCCGGGCUUAACCUGGGAAUGGCAUUCAAGACUGGUUAGCUAGAGUCUUGUAGAGGGGGUAGAAUUCCAUGUGUAGCGGUGAAAUGCGUAGAGAUGUGGAGGAAUACCGGUGGCGAAGGCGGCCCCUGGCAAAGACUGACGCUCAUGUGCGAAAGCGUGGGGAGCAAACAGGGAUUAGAUACC